AAUAAGCGUAGCUAUGAGUUUCCGUCCCCAAUUUUGAUUGUCCGUCUUAUUUAAUAUUUUUUUAUAAUUAGUAUUUUUAUUGUUAUUAGAUUAUAAAACAUAAAUAAUAUUUUAUGUGUGACUUAUGUUUUUUUUAGUUUUUUCAAAAAAAAAUCAAAUAGGAUGAAUGAUUGAAGUUGGGUACGGAAACUAAUGGCUGCGCUUAUU
rfam:Oryza meridionalis cultivar OR44 (W2112) chromosome 2, whole genome shotgun sequence.